CGGUCCAGGCAAAGGGACCAGCAUUUGUCAAUGCAUGGCGGAGAGAAGAGCGUCCUCAUCCUGCAACAAAGACGACGAGCCCUGAGGCUCUGCCUGGCUUUCCUGUGGCACCUCCACUCCGUCCUGUUUGCCUUGGACAUGGGCCCCGAGCUGGGAACAAGAAGGGACACGGAGGAAGGACAUAGCCCUGAACCCUGAUCUCUCAGCAAAGAUCUCCGCCAUACUGCUUCCCCAGUCAGGAGUCUGGUGACUGAAGACCUAUGAGACCCACCUGAACCUUCAUCUGCUCUUCAGUCCAGCCCAGGGUCAUCUUGGGCUAACUUCUCAGGGGCAUUGUCAAGAAGGGGAGGACAGACUUCCACCUGUCUACUCCAGGACUCGAGAGGCAGAGCCAGAUGGGGAGCCAGCUAGCAAUCAUUUAUCUCACUUAACUGCAUCCUGCCCAUUGUGCGGAUGGAAAAACUAAGGUGCAGAUUGUAAGACAAAAGAGGCAGAGGCAAAACAGAGCCAGAUCUCCAGACUCUGAACCUUCUGUUGGGUUCUUUCCUCAGCCUCUCAAUGCUCGCAGACGUCUGCCAUAGGAACCCGGGGGGUGGAGUGGGGGACUGGCAGGAGUGUCACAUCUCAUGUUUAGUCUUUGGUGGCCAGGGACUGGCAGGGGCUGUAGGAACGGCUCUCUUGUCUCAGAUCCUGGAAAUGGGCCUCCUGGCAGCCAUGGAGAUUAAGGUCCCUCCCAGGCCCCGUCAUGCUUCACUGGAGGUUGACACUUCCCUGGCUCCCAGCUCCAAAAACAUCAACGAAAUGGGACCCAACAGAACAGGUCCUGUUUGGUCGUAAGGACUAGGUCCGCGACUUGCAGGUUCCAUUGUUACUUGGAACUCAGGGAACGCACACCUGGAAAACUUGGGGCAUCUGAACCCCCUUUGACAGGACUUAGACAACCUAGGCUUGUGAGGGUGGGCUGCCUCGGGGGUGUGAGGAAGUGGGGCUUUGCUCUGGGUCAUGUGUCAUCACAGAGCAGAGGCGACUCUGACUGGGGAUCUUAGAGAUUUUUUUUUUAAUCUAAAAGGAAGAGCCACGAAGUGAAGCUGAAGGCACUGUCACCCGUCCAGCCAGGAUCGGGGAUGUUGGAUUCUCCUGUGCUUUAGAGUGCGUUCUUUUAUGAAUUUGCGUUCAGACGUGACAGGGCAGAGUCCCGGUGCAUUUCGGGCCUACCGUGGCUUUGCUGGACACGCCAAUCUUCAGCAUUGCUUCUGUGUCCGGAGCCGGCAUCCCGGGAGGGACCUCAGAGGGACCCUCCUGCCGUUUUCCGUUCAGAAGCUGAGCCAGCAGCCUUGCACUGACUGCUAGCAAGGAGCAGGUCCCAGCCAGGUAGACAGGCUUGCCCUGUGACUGCAAAGGAAGGUGGACCCGAGUCCAUAUCCCAAGGUUCUCCCUUGGAGGAGGCUUGCACCCCGACAUGCCUUGCAUCUUUACUCUUUCAUAAACGUCGAAGGGACACUCGUUUUAUGCCAAGACCCAAGUGCCUCAGGCCAGUGUCUUAAUUCUCAGUGCUCAGUUUGUCUCUCUGGGAAAUGGGUACAAUGUUAGUGCCUGAGAUAGAUGAGGGCCUAUUGCAUUGCCCUGAAUUGCUGUGGUUAAACACUGGGUGUCAAGUGUGGAGCCAUGCUGGUCCGUACCAUCAUAGACCUUAUUACAGAGAGGCAAGGAGAGGGCGGCUCGGGAGAACAUGUCUUGUUCCUCCUUGUCAUGGCCUAGAGACCGGAGACCCCAGUGAUUCCCCACACAGCCUGGGCUGCAUAGACCAGGAUCUGAGGGUUCCAGAGUUCUGGUCCCUCUAGUCUAUACUACCCCUUAACUCCCCCAACAUAGCUGGGAGGGGGGGCAUCUCUUGAAAUUGCCCUGGCUAGCCCCUGACAUCAUUCAGGCCCAGGAUCGACUACCCCAGAAGGGAGGCUGCUGUUUCUAACCCGAACCCCACCUCUGCAUGCCAUGGGGCGCUGCCGACCCGAUGUCUUGUGGUUCUCCAGGCUCUCUAAACACAGCCCAUGGGAGCCGCUGGGGCCCAGAGGCAGAGAGGGCACAGGCUGUGGGGGUGGAGGAGGGCAUGUGCUAUCCUGCCUUCUGCAUGCAUGGAGGAGGGGGUGGUUACAGGACAGCGUGAGACCGGCAUAGAAGGACGUUUGUUUAUCUGUUGGGGAUGGCAGAGGCAGCGCCCAUGACAGGGGCCUGCGCGAUGUGGGCAGGGAGGGUACUCAUUGUGCCCCUGAAUGGGUAGGUGUGGACCUGUGCGGGGGCGGCCACUCUGGCAGGAGGGUGGGGGCCUGCACUUAGUGUGUGUGCCGAGCUUCAGCCUUGGUAGCUAGGCCUAGGUUCAGAGUUCGCAUUGGCCUGGGUUCGUUUCUAAUUGAGCUCUUUCCUGGCUGUGUGAUCUUGGCCCAGUGGUUUACCCCCUCUGAGCCUCAUUCAUCUGCUCCAUGACUGGGGCUAGGCACAUGAAACUCAUUAUUUGCUGCUCUUUCAGAGGACCCAAGUUUGGUUCCCAGAACCCACAUCAGGAGGCUCAAGACUGUCUGCGACUCCGGCUUCAGGGAUCCAACUGCCACUCUGCCACUGGCCUGUGUACAAAUGUGGCAAUACACACACACACACACGCACACAUGCACUCAUGCAUGCUUGCACACAUGUGUGCUGACACACACACAAAUUUUUAAAAGUACUUAAUUAAAAAAAAAAAAAGU
ensembl:lincRNA Gm13074 predicted gene 13074